UGUGAAGAUCCCGGAGUGCGGAGUCCUCAGCGCGGAGGCUGCUGCCCCUGGCGUUCAGUAUGGCCGCGCGAACUGAGUGGGGACGUCCCAUGGCUCUCAGAAAUGUGGGGCAGGAAAGCGUUGGGGACCUUUGCACUGUGCCGGGGGACAGGGUAAAGGAAGACCUAGGUCCGACCCCGCCUCCCUAGGCAGUGCCUGGCUUUAUGAAAUAUAGCUGGAGUCUGACACUUUCAAAGCUUGCACCGAACUCAUCCUCCCCAGCGCGCACGCUCCCCUCUUCCUGCAAUACAUGCACCAGCAGCCGAGACCUUGCUCUAUUGCAGUUCAUGAAACUACUUGCCAUGCAUGUCAGUUUGUCAUCCAGAAACUCUCAGGAGGUAGAGACCACUUAACACAGUUUUAGGUGGAGCAGUGGCUUGUGGAGUGGCAAAGUUUGGGACUCACUUACUUAACUGAAGAUACCCCAGCCUUGAAGAAGGACCAGUAGAAAAGGCAAUGCCUCAAAGGUGAUACCUGCAUAAGUAAUGUCCACCCUUCUGGUACGGGGAGUUUUGAAAAAAUCCUGUCAUGAGACAAGCAGAAUGUCCAUAAGGCAGACCUGCCAUGAUCAAAGGUAGUCUUCCUCCUGGUUCAAGAUGGCACAGUCCUAGGUGUCACAUGGAAAUACAACCACAUCCAAUAGCAGAAGAGGACUGUCUUUUGACAAAAGGCCUCACUCAGCAGAGGAUCUCCUUCUGAAGAGCUUCUCUCCAGGAGUACCCUGGCCUCUCGAGAUGCUGACAGCAGUUUCCUGACUUAGCUGAUUCAGCCCUGGUCGGCCUGCUCUUGGAGUAUACUGAGAUGUCAUGUCAGCUUCCUGGUGAUAACCGGCCUUAGCCUGCCAUGCCUGUCUAUUCCUGUGCCCUUUCUUAUGGAAUUUCUGCCCAUCCAAAACUGAGCAGUUGUGGAAUCUUAGAAGUAGGCUGUCCAGGAUGUGUCAGCAAGCUUCUUCUAACAUCCUAUCCUAUCAUCCUUCCUUUGUGGCGUUUGUCCUUAUAACUGCAAGAUGGAUGCUGUACCUGGAGGCAUCAAAUCUAUGUUCUCGGCAGGAAGAAUGAGGGAAAGAAAUGGUAAGACAAUAAUCCUCUCAUCCAACACAAUUUUACAAUAAGGUUUCCUCCCUGAUCUAAGUGUAUU